GAUGAACGCUGGCGGCGUGCCUAAUACAUGCAAGUCGAGCGAACGGACGAGAAGCUUGCUUCUCUGAUGUUAGCGGCGGACGGGUGAGUAACACGUGGAUAACCUACCUAUAGACUGGGAUAACUUCGGGAAACCGGAGCUAAUACCGGAUAAUAUUUUGAACCGCAUGGUUCCAAAGUGAAAGACGGUCUUGCUGUUACUUAUAGAUGGAUCCGCGCUGCAUUAGCUAGUUGGUAAGGUAACGGCUUACCAAGGCAACGAUGCAUAGCCGACCUGAGAGGGUGAUCGGCCACACUGGAACUGAGACACGGUCCAGACUCCUACGGGAGGCAGCAGUAGGGAAUCUUCCGCAAAGGGCGAAAGCCUGACGGAGCAACGCCGCGUGAGUGAUGAAGGUCUUCGGAUCGUAAAACUCUGUUAUUAGGGAAGAACAUAUGUGUAAGUAACUGUGCACAUCUUGACGGUACCUAAUCAGAAAGCCACGGCUAACUACGUG
rnacentral:rRNA from 1 species